UGUGGAAGGGACCGCUGAAGCAGUGCAAGUCGAGCGGAUGAAGGGAGCUUGCUCCUGGAUUCAGCGGCGGACGGGUGAGUAAUGCCUAGGAAUCUGCCUGGUAGUGGGGGAUAACGUCCGGAAACGGGCGCUAAUACCGCAUACGUCCUGAGGGAGAAAGUGGGGGAUCUUCGGACCUCACGCUAUCAGAUGAGCCUAGGUCGGAUUAGCUAGUUGGUGGGGUAAAGGCCUACCAAGGCGACGAUCCGUAACUGGUCUGAGAGGAUGAUCAGUCACACUGGAACUGAGACACGGUCCAGACUCCUACGGGAGGCAGCAGUGGGGAAUAUUGGACAAUGGGCGAAAGCCUGAUCCAGCCAUGCCGCGUGUGUGAAGAAGGUCUUCGGAUUGUAAAGCACUUUAAGUUGGGAGGAAGGGCAGUAAGUUAAUACCUUGCUGUUUUGACGUUACCAACAGAAUAAGCACCGGCUAACUUCGUGCCAGCAGCCGCGGUAAUACGAAGGGUGCAAGCGUUAAUCGGAAUUACUGGGCGUAAAGCGCGCGUAGGUGGUUCAGCAAGUUGGAUGUGAAAUCCCCGGGCUCAACCUGGGAACUGCAUCCAAAACUACUGAGCUAGAGUACGGUAGAGGGUGGUGGAAUUUCCUGUGUAGCGGUGAAAUGCGUAGAUAUAGGAAGGAACACCAGUGGCGAAGGCGACCACCUGCACGGAUACUGACACUGAUGUGCGACAGCAUGGGGAGCAAACAGGAUUAUAUACCCUGUUAGUCCACGCCGUACACGAUGUCAACUAGACUUUGGGAGGCUUGACUGGAUA
rnacentral:rRNA from 1 species